rnacentral:lncRNA from 1 species
UUAAAGUAAGGAAUUGAAAGGAUGAGAGUGAUUCUUUCUAUCUAAAUCAAACUAAAGUAAUUAAAAGUAUCAAACUAUAAGUGAUCACUCAAACAAUAGAUCAAUUCCAUUGAAAAUUAUAAAUCUACUAAUAACACAAUGGUUUAACUCCAAAUCAUAAUAAGCUAAGCAGGUAUACCUAUAGGAAAACCAUCAAAACUUGGUUUAACUUACAUCUAAAUCAUGGCACAGAGAAUUA